UACGUAGGUGGCAAGCGUUGUCCGGAUUUAUUGGGCUUAAAGGGUGCGUAGGCGGCCCUAUAAGUCAGUGCUGAAAUAUCCCGGCUUAACCGGGAGGGUGGCAUUGAUACUGUAGGGCUUGAGUAAAGUUGAGGUUGGCGGAAUUGACGGUGUAGCGGUGAAAUGCUUAGAUAUCGUCAAGAACACCUAUUGCGAAGGCAGCUAACUAAGCUUUAACUGACGCUGAGGCACGAAAGUGUGGGGAGCAAACAGG
rnacentral:rRNA from 1 species